rnacentral:lncRNA from 1 species
GGUGUGUCUUGCUUAUGAAGCACAAAUCCGAAUGGAUUGAAAUGUUCAAAUGAUUCUGUAAUGAGGUGGAAAAAUAAACUACAAAGAGUACUAGAACUCAUCAGUCAGACGAUGAAGUAAAUACCUUUAUAGUAAGUUUUGGUAUGUCUUGAAGAGAAUUAAAUUCUUUCUCAAUGAACCUCUCCUGGGAUACCACUGUUUAAAAGGGUGUCUGAAAGAAGGAAUCAAACUUUGUUAGACAUGGUUCGGUCCACUUUGAGUUUGCUGAUUUAUCUGAGGUUAUGUUUAGAGACUACUUGAUAUAUUUUUG